CCUACGGGAGGCAUCAGUAGGGAAUAUUGCUCAAUGGGGGAAACCCUGAAGCAGCAACGCCGCGUGGAGGAUGAAGGUUUUCGGAUUGUAAACACCUUUUGUUAGAGAAGAUAAUGACGGUAUCUAACGAAUAAGCACCGGCUAACUCCGUGCCAGCAGCCGCGGUACUCCGGAGGGUGCAAGCGUUACUCGGAAUCACUGGGCGUAAAGAGCGCGUAGGCGGGAUAGCACGUCAGAUGUGAAAUCCUAUGGCUUAACCAUAGAACUGCAUUUGAAACCGUUAUUCGAGAGGAUGGGAGAGGUAGGUGGAAUUCUUGGUGUAGGGGUAAAAUCCGUAGAGAUCAAGAGGAAUACUCAUUGCGAAGGCGACCUGCUAGAACAUAACGGACGCUGAUGCGCGAAAGCGUGGGGAGCAAACAGGAUGAGAGACCCCAGUAGUC
rnacentral:rRNA from 1 species